AGCUUAUCCCUCAACCGAGCCAUUGCUCAUGGAUGCUCGCUGUGGUCUGUGACUGAGACGUGGCAUCAUAGAUGAAUCACUGAUCCUACAAACAGAGAUGAAAAUCCCCUCCCAUGGGAAGUUUUGGGCUUCUGACCAACGGCUGAAAUCAAUCCCGCAACCGAAACGGUGUGAUGAUAUUGGACUCUCCUCAAGGAGCAGGUUGUCAAGCAACCGUAAGGCGGGCAAAAAAAGGAAUGGAGGAUGGAAGGAGAGCCGAUGGGGAGAAAAGAGACAGGCAGAUAAAGAGCAAUCUCCUUGGCUAGAUGAAGGGCUGUAGGUACACUCCAGAUGGUGACCUAGAACUUGUUGGGCUACGCUGUGGAAAUAACCCUCUCUG